AGCGAACGCUGGCGGCAGGCUUAACACAUGCCAGUCGAGCGGGCAUCCUUGUGGUGUCAGCGGCAGACGGGUGAGUAACGCGUGGGGACGUGCCCUUCGGUUCGGAAUAACUCAGGGAAACUUGAGCUAAUACCGGAUACGUGCGAGAGCAGAAAGGUUUAUCUGCCGAAGGAUCGGCCCGCGUCUGAUUAGCUAGUUGGUGAGGUUACGGCUCACCAAGGCGACGAUCAGUAGCUGGUCUGAGAGGAUGAUCAGCCACACUGGGACUGAGACACGGCCCAGACUCCUACGGGAGGCAGCAGUGGGGAAUAUUGGACAAUGGGGGCAACCCUGAUCCAGCCAUGCCGGGUGAGUGAUGACGGCCUUAGGGUUGUAAAGCUCUUUUCUCCGGGACGAUAAUGACGGUACCGGAGGAAUAAGCCCCGGCUAACUUCGUG
rnacentral:rRNA from 1 species